AUGUGUGACUUCCGUGGGUGGCUUCAAGUCCUCCGACUUGCAAGGCAGGAGCUUUACCCGCCAAGCCAUCCCGCCAGCCCCACCUAAUGCUUUACUGCUGCUGUUGUUUCUCAGACUGUGUUGCUUUGAAAUCCGGCGAGCCUGCUCCGAGCUCAUACCCCUCUCUCUUGUUUCUUGGUGUGUCGCAGGGUGAACCAAGUGGAUGCGUGCACAGUCAGCUGCCAUCCUGAUGGAGGUGCACAGAAGGAGAAGUUGGCCGGCAUGCCCCGAAGAAGAUGGCAGCAACCAACAGCCCACGUUCAAGGCAGUGAGGAGCAGUCAAGAGGGCUACGAGGAGGCCACACCCAGCGAGUGAGUGGUUCCACUCCACAGCCCCGUUUCCCAGGCCGCUUUAUGUCGGACUUACGGCUGGCGCUUUCCCAAGUGCCUUCAUCUUAGCGUCUCAGCAGCCAGAGGAGGACGGCGUUAGUGGCAGCCACCCCUUACUCACAGGAGCGUGCAAAAGAGUGGGCCAGCCUACUCAAGGUUCGUGGUCGUAAACUCACAGAGGCGACAGGCCUCAUGCUCAGCACCGCUUCUCUGAAACCAUUUCUGUAGGGGGAAAUUUAGUACUCCGCCAUUAGCCAUGUGGCGUGUUAGAGACACAUACAGAUGAGAUAAUAAAAGGGCAGUUCACCGCACCGCUAACCACACCUGCUUUAGGCGUGACUAAAGAUAUAUAUGGACUUAGGUGGUGAACUACGUCACUAGCCCGGCCCACUUUUGGGCGUGGCUAGGGGCGUGUACGGAGGAAGGAAUAAAAGACCUAGCAGCAGAGCGUCUCGCUCUCUUUUUGGCUUUCGGUUUGGUGGUGAAAGGCUUGACUCAUCUGGAUUGCUUGUUUCUCUCUUGUGAGUAAUUUCCACAAUAAACAGUUACCUAUGCCCUCAA